rnacentral:rRNA from 1 species
CCUACGGGAGGCAGCAGUUGGGAAUUUUGCGCAAUGGACGAAAGUCUGACGCAGCGACGCCGCGUGGAGGAUGAAGGCCUUAGGGUUGUAAACUCCUUUUGAUGGGGAGUAAUUUGUGAACGUACCCAUCGAAUAAGCACCGGCUAACUCCGUGCCAGCAGCCGCGGUAAGACGGAGGGUGCAAACGUUGUCCGGAAUCACUGGGCGUAAAGCGCAUGUAGGUGGUUUAGUAAGUCUUCUAUUAAAGACCGAUGCUUAACAUCGGGUCAGUAGUGGAUACUGCUAGACUAGAGGAAGACAGGGGUACGUGGAACUUUAGGUGUAGGAGUGAAAUCCGUAGAUAUCUAAAGGAACACCAAUGGCGAAGGCAGCGUACUGGGUCUUUUCUGACACUGAGAUGCGAAAGCGUGGGGAGCAAACGGGAUUAGAUACCCCGGUAGUCCACGCCGUAAACGAUGCCGACUAGUUCUUGGAGGUAUCCGACCCCUCUUGGUAGCGACGACUACGACGUACGUACGGCCGCCGUCGGGUAGGUACGAGCGCGACGACUAAACUAACGAACGAAGUAGUACGGCGNGAGACGNGCCGACGACGACGACGAGGGAGGUUAGG